rnacentral:rRNA from 1 species
UACGUAGGGUGCAAGCGUUGUCCGGAAUUAUUGGGCGUAAAGAGCUCGUAGGCGGUUUGUUGCGUCAGCUGUGAAAACCUGAGGCUCAACCUCAGGCCUGCAGUCGAUACGAGCAGACUAGAGUGUUGCAGGGGAGACUGGAAUUCCUGGUGUAGCGGUGAAAUGCGCAGAUAUCAGGAGGAACACCGGUGGCGAAGGCGGGUCUCUGGGCAACAACUGACGCUGAGGAGCGAAAGCGUGGGGAGCGAACAGG